CCUACGGGAGGCAGCAGUGAGGAAUCUUGGUCAAUGGACGAAAGUCUGAACCAGCAAUGCCGCGUGCAGGAUGACGGCCCUAUGAGUUGAAAACUGCUUUUGUAUUAGGGUAAACCCCCCUACGUGUAGGGUCUUGAUAGUAUAGUACGAAUAAGGAUCGGCUAAAUUCGCGCCAGCAGCGGCGGUAAUACGGAGGGUCCAAGCCUUAUCCGGAUUUAUUGGGUUUAAAGGGUGCGUAGGCGGUCUGAUAAGUUAGAGGUGAAAUACCGGUGCUCAACCCGGGAAGUGCCUCUAAUACUGGGGGACUUGAGAGUAGUUGCGGAAGGCGGAAUGCAAGGUGUAGCGGUGAAAUGCGUAGAUAUAAUACAGAACACCGAUUGCGAAGGCAGCUUUCCAAACUAUAUCUGACGUUGAGGCACGAAAGCGUGGGUAGCAAACAGGAUUAGAUACCCGUGUAGUC
rnacentral:rRNA from 1 species